UACGAAGGGGGCUAGCGUUGUUCGGAAUUACUGGGCGUAAAGGGCUCGUAGGCGGCCAACUAAGUCAGACGUGAAAUCCCUCGGCUUAACCGGGGAACUGCGUCUGAUACUGGAUGGCUUGAAUCCGGGAGAGGGAUGCAGAAUUCCAGGUGUAGCGGUGAAAUGCGUAGAUAUCAGGAGGAACACCGGUGGCGAAGGCGGGUCUCUGGGCAACAACUGACGCUGAGGAGCGAAAGCGUGGGGAGCGAACAGG
rnacentral:rRNA from 1 species